rnacentral:rRNA from 1 species
GGAAUCUUCCACAAUGGGCGAAAGCCUGAUGGAGCAACGCCGCGUGUGUGAUGAAGGGUUUCGGCUCGUAAAACACUGUUGUAAGAGAAGAAUGACAUUGAGAGUAACUGUUCAAUGUGUGACGGUAUCUUACUAGAAAGGAACGGCUAAAUACGUGCCAG